CACCACCACACCUCCACCUACAUCCACACCUCCACCUACAUCCACAUCUCCACCUGUUCUUUCUGUGUUGCCCUUUGUUGGAUCAGUCUGUGUUGUGGUUCUACUGGUGUUACUGGUUCUGCUGGUGAGAGGAUGUGUUCAAAGGAAACUUGAAGAUAAAGAAGAUGGAGACGAUGACAUCACCAGUGACACCACAAACAGUUAUGAUACAUCAUCAAAUCAACAACAAAAUCCAUUCAAACGAACCAGAGAGACUGAUUCAGCUGUGAUUUACUCAGCAGUGAGAACUGAAGACGUCUGUUAUGGACAAACAACCAUCAGAACAAGGAGGCCCAGACUUUAAACCAGAGCCAGACGUCGUCUACUCUUCACUGAAGUAGUCCACCAGUCCAACCACUGACGUCCAGCUGCUGGUCUCUAACUGGUCCCCCCAGCACCUCAGACCAGAG